UACGUAGGGACCGAGCGUUGUCCGGAAUCAUUGGGCGUAAAGAGCGUGUAGGCGGCUCGCUAAGUCUUGCGUGAAAUCUCGGGGCUCAACCCCGAGCGGUCGUGAGAAACUGGCGGGCUAGAGUGCGGGAGAGGAGAGUGGAAUUCCUGGUGUAGCGGUGAAAUGCGCAGAUAUCAGGAAGAACACCCGUGGCGAAGGCGGCUCUCUGGAACGCAACUGACGCUGAGACGCGAAAAGCGUGGGGAGCAAACAGG
rnacentral:rRNA from 1 species